AUGAACGCUGCGGCGUGCAUAAUACAUGCAAGUCGAACGGAAUUUAAAAGAGCUUGCUCUUUUAAAUUUAGUGGCGCACGGGUGAGUAAUAUAUAGCUAAUCUGCCCCUUGCUGGAGGACAACAGUUAGAAAUGACUGCUAAUACUCCAUACUCCUUUUUACCAUAAGAUAAAUCGGGAAAGAAUUUCGGCAAGGGAUGAGACUAUAUCGUAUCAGCUAGUCGGUGGGGUAACGGCUACCGAGGCUAUGAUGCGUAACUGGUCUGAGAGGAUGAUCAGUCACAUUGGAACUGAGACACGGUCCAAACUCCUACGGGAGGCAGCAGUAGGGAAUAUUGCGCAAUGGGGGAAACCCUGACGCAGCAACGCCGCGUGGAGGAUGACACUUUUCGGAGCGUAAACUCUUUUGUUAGGGAAGAAUAAUGACGUACCUAACG
rnacentral:rRNA from 1 species